CAGCUUCUUUACGGUGCUGCCUUG
rnacentral:miRNA from 1 species